rnacentral:rRNA from 1 species
GAUGAACGCUGGCGGCGUGCUUAACACAUGCAAGUCGAACGAUGAAGCCAAGCUUGUUGGGUGGUUUAGUGGCGAACGGGUGAGUAAGACGCGAGUAAAUUGCCCUUGUAUCUGGGUUAAGCCUGGGAAACAGGGUCUAACAAUGGAUAUGACUUCUCUUGGAACGGAGGGGGGUGGAAAGAUUUACGGGUUUUGGAUGGACUCGCGGCGUAUCAGCUCGUUAGUGAGGUAUUGGCUCACCAAGGCGGUGACUGGUAGACGGCCCGUGAGGGAGACCGGACACACGGGUACUAAGGCACGCAGCAGAAUCCAAUGGGAGGCAACAGUGGAGAGUAUUGCACAGUAGGCGCAAGCCUGAUGCAGCGACCUCGCGUGCGUAAUGACGGCCUUCGGGUGGUAAACCUCUUUCUGUGGAGAUGAAGCGAGAUUGACGGUACCUGCAGAGGAAGCGCCGGCUAACUACGUG